CCCAGCACCUCCUUCCCCUCCCGGGGUCUCCCGCUGGACUGCGCUGCGGUUUCUCUGCACAGCGCUUGUCGGUUGCAGUAUGCAUGCUGCUGACCUUCCAUUCUCAGGGACAUCCAUCCCUCAAAGCACACCUAGGUGUGAUGGCACAGGAGUUGAACCUGGUGAGCUGGUUCAACCUGAUAAAGUGGAAAACGCUGAAGUAUGUGGAAAACAAGAAACAGGGAUAGAGAAGUAAAAACUACAUUUUCACACACACCACCCCAAGAUCGCCAAAUCACCAAAAUGUGUAUUUGAUAUGUAAUUAAAGUUAGACUUUCAGGCAA